rnacentral:rRNA from 1 species
UACGUGGGGUGCGAGCGUUGUCCGGAAUUAUUGGGCGUAAAGGGCUCGUAGGCGGUCUGUUGCGUCGGGAGUGAAAACUCAGGGCUUAACCCUGAGCCUGCUUCCGAUACGGGCAGGCUAGAGGUAUGCAGGGGAGAACGGAAUUCCUGGUGUAGCGGUGAAAUGCGCAGAUAUCAGGAGGAACACCGGUGGCGAAGGCGGUUCUCUGGGCAUUACCUGACGCUGAGGAGCGAAAGUGUGGGGAGCGAACAGG